GGCGGACGGGUGAGUAACACGUGGGCAACCUGCCUGUAAGACUGGGAUAACUUCGGGAAACCGAAGCUAAUACCGGAUAGGAUCUUCUCCUUCAUGGGAGAUGAUUGAAAGAUGGUUUCGGCUAUCACUUACAGAUGGGCCCGCGGUGCAUUAGCUAGUUGGUGAGGUAACGGCUCACCAAGGCAACGAUGCAUAGCCGACCUGAGAGGGUGAUCGGCCACACUGGGACUGAGACACGGCCCAGACUCCUACGGGAGGCAGCAGUAGGGAAUCUUCCGCAAUGGACGAAAGUCUGACGGAGCAACGCCGCGUGAGUGAUGAAGGCUUUCGGGUCGUAAAACUCUGUUGUUAGGGAAGAACAAGUACGAGAGUAACUGCUCGUACCUUGACGGUACCUAACCAGAAAGCCACGGCUAACUACGUGCCAGCAGCCGCGGUAAUACGUAGGUGGCAAGCGUUAUCCGGAAUUAUUGGGCGUAAAGCGCGCGCAGGCGGUUUCUUAAGUCUGAUGUGAAAGCCCACGGCUCAACCGUGGAGGGUCAUUGGAAACUGGGGAACUUGAGUGCAGAAGAGAAAAGCGGAAUUCCACGUGUAGCGGUGAAAUGCGUAGAGAUGUGGAGGAACACCAGUGGCGAAGGCGGCU
rnacentral:rRNA from 1 species